rnacentral:SRP_RNA from 1 species
UCCAGGCGUGGUGGCAUACACCUGUAGUCCCACUUACUCGAGAGGCUGAGGCUAGAGGAUCAUUUGAGCCCAGGAGUUCUGGGCUGCAGUGUGGCUAUGCCAAUAGGGUGUCUGCACUAAGUUCGGCAUCAAUAUGGUGACCUCCCAGGAGUGGGGGGCCACCAGGUUGCCUAAGGAGGGGUGAAUCGGCCCAGGUCAGAAAUGGAGCAGGUCAAAAAUAAAGCAUAUCUCUGCGGUGCUCCAUCAUGUAGAUGGAAGUUAAGCCAGCUGACUAGAUUACAGAUAAAUCACUAU